UGGGGAAUAUUGCACAAUGGGCGCAAGCCUGAUGCAGCCAUGCCGCGUGUGUGAAGAAGGCCUUCGGGUUGUAAAGCACUUUCAGCGGGGAGGAAGGCGUUAAGGUUAAUAACCUUGGCGAUUGACGUUACCCGCAGAAGAAGCACCGGCUAACUCCGUGCCAGCAGCCGCGGUAAUACGGAGGGUGCAAGCGUUAAUCGGAAUUACUGGGCGUAAAGCGCACGCAGGCGGUCUGUCAAGUCGGAUGUGAAAUCCCCGGGCUCAACCUGGGAACUGCAUCUGAUACUGAAAAGCUUGAGUCUCGUAGAGGGGGGUAGAAUUCCAGGUGUAGCGGUGAAAUGCGUAGAGAUCUGGAGGAAUACCGGUGGCGAAGGCGGCCCCCUGGACGAAGACUGACGCUCAGGUGCGAAAGCGUGGGGAGCAAACAGG
rnacentral:rRNA from 1 species